UACUAAAAGCCUGGUCCCUCCACCAGGGAGCUCAGUCUGGUCCUGACUCAUAUUAUGAACAAAACUCCUACUAGCCUGGGCUGUAGCAGAAGAGAACUCAACCAACACAGGUGCCUGAGGAGCUGCAAGAGCCAGAAGCCAAAGGGUAGAAGGUGGUAGAGACCUGUGGAGACUAAGAAGGGGUUUAUCAGAAGCUGGCAGAAGACCACCAGACUGGAUAUGGCUGUUGGACUGUCAGGAAUGGUUUAUGUAUAGCUCAUUCUGCCUUGGAAUGAGAUAAAUGUAAUAAGCAGUCGUUUUCCCAUCCUUGGGUUUAGAGAACAUGUAAUUUCUGGAACGCCACUUCCCGAGCAUUUUCCAAAUCUUAGGAGCCCCUGGAAAUGGGGCAAUAGCAUCUUAUACAAACUGAGCUGAUCCUACCCAUCUCACUCCCAACGCUGACUUGAUACCCUGCAACUCCAGUAUUCAAGAACAUCAGCCUUCAAUGAUCAGCAGGGAUCCUGGUUUUCUCUUGAUUCAAAACAAAACAAUUUUUUUGAAUUAAAAAUAGUAACCCAAAAUCCACACUUCUCCGUGGUCAAAAUGAAACACCUCUGUCUGUCUGUCCUUCCUUUGUUCCUUCAAUCCCCAGUGGUUGGCACUUUUCCCAUUUGAAGCCCUUGUUGAUAUUUCACUUUCCCU